rnacentral:rRNA from 1 species
GACGAACGCUGGCGGCGUGGAUUAGGCAUGCAAGUCGCGCGACGGUAUUCCUUCGGGGGUACACGAGCGGCGAACGGGUGAGUAACACGUGGGUGACCUGCCCUUCACUCUGGGAUAAGCCUGGGAAACUGGGUCUAAUACCGGAUAUUCACUUCUGCCCUGCAUGGGGUGUGGUGGAAAGUUUUUUCGGUGGGGGAUGGGCCCGCGGCCUAUCAGCUUGUUGGUGGGGUGAUGGCCUACCAAGGCGACGACGGGUAGCCGGCCUGAGAGGGCGACCGGCCACACUGGGACUGAGACACGGCCCAGACUCCUACGGGAGGCAGCAGUGGGGAAUUGUUCGCAAUGGGGCNCAAGCCUGACGACGCAACGCCGCGUGGAGGAUGAAGGUCUUCGGAUUGUAAACUCCUGUUGCCCGGGACGAAUGGCCACGACCUAAUACGUCGUGGUGU